rnacentral:rRNA from 1 species
CAGCAGCCGCGGUAAUACGUAGGUGGCAAGCGUUGUCCGGAAUUAUUGGGCGUAAAGGGCUCGCAGGCGGUUUCUUAAGUCUGAUGUGAAAGCCCCCCGGCUCAACCGGGGAGGGUCAUUGGAAACUGGGGGAACUUGAGUGCAGAAGAGGAGAGUGGAAUUCCACGUGUAGCGGUGAAAUGCGUAGAGAUGUGGAGGAACACCAGUGGCAAAGGCGACUCUCUGGUCUGUAACUGACGCUGAGGAGCAAAACCGUCGGGAGCCAACAGGAUUAGAUACCCUGGUACUCCACCCCGUAAACGAUGAGUGCUAAGUGUUAGGGGGUUUCCGCCCCUUAGUGCUGCAGCUAACGCAUUAAGCACUCCGCCUGGGGAGUACGGUCGCAAGACUGAAACUCAAAGGAAUUGACGGG